CCUUUGAUAGCUCAGUUGGAAAAGUGGAGGACUAUAGAUCCUUAGGUUGCUGGUUUGAAUCCAGCUCAAAGGA